GCCGCUUUAGCGCAGUGGCUAACGCGUCACACUCGUAUCCCUACGCCAUGUGAAGACCCUCGGUUCGAUUCCGAGAAGCGGCA